UGGGGAAUCUUGCGCAAUGGGCGAAAGCCUGACGCAGCAACGCCGCGUGAGUGAUGAAGGUUCUUGGCUCGUAAAGCUCUUUCGGCUGGGAAGAAACGCCCCGUAGCUAAUACCUGCGGGGUUUGACGGUACCAGCAGAAGAAGCACCGGCUAACUCUGUGCCAGCAGCCGCGGUAAUACAGAGGGUGCAAGCGUUGUUCGGAAUUAUUGGGCGUAAAGCGAGUGUAGGCGGGAUGGCAAGUCGGGUGUGAAAGCCCUCAGCUCAACUGAGGAAGUGCGCUCGAAACUACCGUUCUUGAGUGUCGGAGAGGGUGACGGAAUUCCCGGUGUAGAGGUGAAAUUCGUAGAUAUCGGGAGGAACACCAGUGGCGAAGGCGGUCACCUGGACGAACACUGACGCUGAGACUCGAAAGCGUGGGUAGCAAACAGGAUUAGAUACCCUGGUAGUCCACGCCGUAAACGAUGAGUGCUAGCUGUAGCGGGUAUUG
rnacentral:rRNA from 1 species